rnacentral:rRNA from 1 species
UACGAAGGGGGCUAGCGUUGCUCGGAAUCACUGGGCGUAAAGCGCACGUAGGCGGCUUUCUAAGUCAGGGGUGAAAUCCUGGAGCUCAACUCCAGAACUGCCUUUGAUACUGGCAAUCUCGAGUCCGGGAGAGGUGAGUGGAACUGCGAGUGUAGAGGUGAAAUUCGUAGAUAUUCGCAAGAACACCAGUGGCGAAGGCGGCUCACUGGCCCGGUACUGACGCUGAGGUGCGGAAGCGUGGGGAGCAAACAGG